UGGGGUAUCGCCAAGCGGUAAGGCACCGGGUUUUGAUCCCGGCAUUCCCAGGUUCGAAUCCUGGUACCCCAG
rnacentral:tRNA from 2 species